rnacentral:SRP_RNA from 1 species
GCCAGGCAUGGUGGUGCACACCUGUAGUCCCAGCUACUUGGGAGGUUGAGGCAGGAAAAUCACUUGAGCCCAGGAGUUUGAGACUGCAGUGAGCUAUGUUUGCACCACUGCACUCCAGCCUGGGCAGCAGAGUGAGAUCCUGUCUCUU